GGACAGUUGGGCGGCUGGAGAGGUCCCCCGGCGGGGAGCUGCAGGAGGCAGACAGGGGGGCUCCCUGGCAAAGCAGCCGCAGCCCCUGGAGCCUCCUUCCACAACUUCCUCCGGGGCUCGGCCGGCGGAGGGAGGAGGAGGUUGGGAAAUCCCCGGCGUGAGGCAGCGCUCCGACCGCUGCCCCUCCCCGCCCCUCCCGGGCUUGGAGGUGCCCGCACGGCCGGGCCCGGGGUGUGCUCGUUGGGCGGGAGAGGGGAAGAAGUCUAUGUGCCCCGCAGAGGGUGGGGGCUGCCGUUCGGAAUCCCCUUCUCUGUCCCAAAACCUCACUCCGUUCCUCCAAAGCACCCUGCCAAGUACCAUCGCUGGGAGGUGCCGCGAGUUCAGUAACCUGAGCGGUACCCUGCCGUGCUGAAGUUGGCGCAAGCGCAGAGCCCACGGAAUACAGGUCCUUGCAGAUAUGGAAAGCUCGAAGGCUGUGGGAAUUGACGAGCUCUGUGUCCUCGUGUGUCUGUCCAUUGACCAGUUACGUAAGGCUCUAGCUGUGCAUAGCAACUCAGUACUGAAAGGCGUUACUGAUACUUAGAGGGAAAAAGCGAGAAAAAAAUAUUUAAGUGGUGUUGGUAUUUGUAUUGUUAUUGGUUUGGGUAUUAGUAUUAACGUUAGUGUUAGUAUUUAGUUUCCCCACUUCUAUUCCCACCGCCAUGGAGAGGACUGCUGCACUGCACCCCCAGCACUGUGUGCUGGCUGCAGUCUGGAGGCUGCUAAAAGUUUUCCAUUCAACAUGUAUCCAUUGGCUGGUUGUUGUCCUGCCAUAGACAACACACCCAGUUAGGUACAGUGAUGCUCCUUUCUCUGAAAUGAGAAAUCUGCAAAGGAAGGACUCGUUUCCAUAAAUGCCUUUCCUGGUUAAUGCACACUGCAGCUUUUGUUCUGUUCCUGCAUUUCUAUGACAAUACAUACAGUGGGAAAACGAUUAUGCUUGGAAAACUAAUUAAUGCACAUUGAAGCCUUGCAUGUAUACCAUGACUUGGAGAGAUUGCAAGGGAUGUCAGCAUAGCAACUGAGCUGUUCUGGUUUCUCAGAUAAAGACGUAUUUGCUACAAAGUUCAGAACUGCUUUGUGAAGAAACAUCGUUAUCAGAUAAUAUGGACAAAAAUAUCCCAUCCAGUUUUUACUUUUAGUGAAAGAGACAUGCCAUCAAGGUGAGACUGGAAACAUACAUCAUUUCUCUAAGCUUUAAAACCCUUCCUAAGGUUAAGAUGCAUUGAGCAGCUCUCGAAGGGCCGACCUGCAGAGUGCCCUUUAAUUGCACGUUACUGUCUUAUGGCGUCCCCAUAGCACGUGAGCUACGCUGCAUUCUGUAACUGAGGGACCCCGCUGCGGGGAGUACCCCAGGGCACCCCCAGACACCU
rnacentral:lncRNA from 1 species